rnacentral:tRNA from 2 species
UCGGAUAUGGUGUAACGGCCAACAUUGCCGCCUCUCAUGACGCCUUUCAUCACUCGUUGACAGAAAGGCAGAGAAGUAUGCGCGGCAGCUCGGGGUUCGAUUCCCCGUAUCCGAA